rnacentral:lncRNA from 1 species
CUUAGUUAGCAGCCAAUCUGCUCGCCGGGAUUCGAACCCCGGCCCGAGUUUAUCGGCUUUACCGCUCGGCCACUGGAGAGCCGUCUUUAGAUGAUGCGAUAUCUAUGCUAAUGACCCCCAUCAUCUGGUGGUGGUGACAGUGGGUGACAUCCUAAGAUGCAUGCAAUCUAUUACUGGACAUCCAAUAUGGCUAAAGACUUGGCUAUAGUUUUCAGCUCCUAAAGACAACUGCAGAUUUCGUACACCCUUCUGUUUUCUAAGUAUGGAAACUGUUUCAUUCUAAAACUCGUCAGUUUGGCAUCCCAGGGACAGUUGUCCACCCUCGCUCGUCUCUAGCUAUACCACAGAUAUCACUACGAAACAAUCUGAUGGUGUUUUGAUCGCUUUGCGGACUUUGAUGCCUUCUCCUGGGAUCUCGUCGAAAGCAGUGCAGCGACAUUUGGAACUAUAGGAAGCUUGCCUUCUUCUCCCACUCAUUCUUUUUGAUCCAAGCGCCACCUGUUGGUCACUUCGAACGCGGCCCGGAGAAGAAAGUGAAAUUUUAAUGUUUUGCGAAAUUGUGGAAAAUGCGAAGGUACGGCGAAAAAUGUGUAGGAAAUGAUUAUGUAUUGCUGAUGAAGUUGCUGAAAAUGGUAUACUAGCGUUCUUUGUCGUUGGGUGAGAAAGAACGUAUAAAGCUAUUCGUGGAGUUGAAGUGUGAAUAGUCCAAGUCAUUAACGUAGACUGUUUUGAUGUGAUGCCUUAGGUGAUGAAAACAGGAAAUCAGAAAUUAUCAAAUAUUGUAAGCUGCCUUACAGGAAAACAGAAAAAACUGAUAUUGUAAACUUUUAUUCCAAAGGGUUCAGACUAAAAGAUUAACCGGAAAACAGUAUUGACAAAGAUCAUUAAAGCUGUGUUAGUUUCCUUCAAUUAACCCAUUGUUAAAAGUGCAUUUAAUUAUAUGGGUUGAUACUGGAAUAGAAUGUAACACAUGCUUGAACACUGAUAGUUUAAAUGCAGUCUAGUAAAGAUUUAGAAACAAUUUGUCAGACAACUUAACCAAAAUUCUUCCACGAAUCAUGCUCUUCUAUGAGCAAGUCAUUUUCAAUACCCAUUAAAAUGUGUACUUUAGGUUCUGAUCUAAUCCUUGAAGGAUCAUUGAAAGUUAUUGUCUACAUCAAACUAUCAUGCUGAUGACACUGACAAGAUAUAGUGAAACUUAAAAAUAUUAUAUAUUUUGCUUCAUUAAUGAAAUUAUUUGGAAAUCUGUGUAUGUGCAUAUAUAUUACAUUAAUGUCUGGAAUGAUGUCAAAUUUUAUGCAGUGACAAUUUUUAGUAUUUUUGAAAUAUAGUAGCAAUCACCUCUGAUUUUGCUGCCUUUAUUAAUGCUUCCUUUGAUUUAAUAAUAGGCCCACCUACGGGCAAGUGUUAAAGUUGCUGAACAGUGGUAGUUCAAUUACGAGUGAAUAGGCUGGUUUCGUGGUAGUUUUUGAGGCUUUCCCCAUGUUUAAUAUGAAAGCAAGUACUUAGGAAAUCCUCCAUGAAAAAAUUUCUCCCUGUAGGCAGAUAGCUGUUCCGGGUCUUGCCAUACUUAAAUAAACCAAACUAAUUUAAUUAAAAAAAAACUAAACUCAGUGGCGUAACAGUCCUAACGGGCCAAUACCUGCAGUGCCCCGAAAUCUGCUUU